CUGGCUCAGGAUGAACGCUGGCGGCAGGCCUAACACAUGCAAGUCGCGGGGCAGCACGGGUAGCAAUACCUGGUGGCGACCGGCGCACGGGUGCGUAACGCGUAUGCAACCUGCCCCCAUCAGGGAAUAGCCCGCCGAAAGGCGGAUUAAUGCCCCAUAGGCCCAGGGCGCCGCAUGGCGCUAUGGGUAAAGCUCCGGCGGAUGGGGAUGGGCAUGCGUGCCAUUAGCUAGUUGGGCGGUAACGGCGCACCAAGGCGACGAUGGCUAGGGGGUCUGAGAGGAUGGUCCCCCACACUGGUACUGAGACACGGACCAGACUCCUACGGGAGGCAGCAGUGAGGAAUAUUGGUCAAUGGGCGGAAGCCUGAACCAGCCAAUGCCGCGUGCAGGAUGACCGGCCCUACGGGUUGUAAACUGUCCUUUUCCCCGGGAAGAAUAACGCCCCUCGUGAGGGGUGAUGCCGGGUACCGGGGAAUAAGGAUCGGCUAACUCCGUGCCAGCCGCGGC
rnacentral:rRNA from 1 species